rnacentral:rRNA from 1 species
UUUACUGUCUCUUACUUCCAAUCCGUGAAAUUGACCUUCCCGUGAAGAGGCGGGAAUACAACAAUAAGACGAGAAGACCCUAUGGAGCUUUAAUUAACCGACCCAAAGAGACCCAUUAAUUUAACCGACAGGAACAACAAACCUCUGUAUGGGCCGACAAUUUAGGUUGGGGUGACCUCGGAGAACAGAACAACCUCCGAGUGAUUUAAAUCAAGACUAACCAGUCGAAAGUAUUACAUCACUUAUUGAUCCAAAAGUUUGAUCAACGGAACAAGUUACCCUAGGGAUAACAGCGCAAUCCUUUUUCAAAGUCCAUAUCGACAAUAGGGUUU